AGGUGCCCAGGAGCUGGGUGGCAGACGAGCAGAGGUGGCACUCGUGCGCUACUCCAGCGUCAUGCUCAAGGGCCUGCGUGAACGACAGCCAGACCUACUGACCGCGAGGAAAACCCCAGGAUCCCGAUGGGACGUGAUCAUCAUCAGAAGCAAAGACUCCUGCCCUUCCCGUUACCUGCUCCUGAAACCUUACGGAUGUGGCCGUAAGCAAAACCCCUAAUACUUGGAAUGGAGGCAGCAAAGACUGGG